rnacentral:rRNA from 1 species
GAUGAACGCUGGCGGCGUGCCUAAUACAUGCCAGUCGAGCGAACAGAUGAGGAGCUUGCUCCUCUGACGUUAGCGGCGGACGGGUGAGUAAUACGUGGAUAACCUACCUAUAAGACUGGGAUAACUUCGGGAAACCGGAGCUAAUACCGGAUAAUAUAUUGAACCGCAUGGUUCAAUAGUGAAAGACGGUUUUGCUGUCACUUAUAGAUGGAUCCGCGCCGCAUUAGCUAGUUGGUAAGGUAACGGCUUACCAAGGCAACGAUGCGUAGCCGACCUGAGAGGGUGAUCGGCCACACUGGAACUGAGACACGGUCCAGACUCCUACGGGAGGCAGCAGUAGGGAAUCUUCCGCAAUGGGCGAAAGCCUGACGGAGCAACGCCGCGUGAGUGAUGAAGGUCUUCGGAUCGUAAAACUCUGUUAUUAGGGAAGAACAAAUGUGUAAGUAACUAUGCACGUCUUGACGGUACCUAAUCAGAAAGCCACGGCUAACUACGUG